rnacentral:rRNA from 1 species
CAUCGCCUCCUGCCCACUCAGCAUAGGAGGUCCCGCCUGCCCUGUGACCAAAAGUUUAACGGCCGCGGUAUUUUAACCGUGCAAAGGUAGCGCAAUCAAUUGUCUUUUAAAUGAAGACCUGUAUGAAUGGCAUAACGAGGGUUUAACUGUCUCUUUUUUCAGGUCAAUGAAACUGAUCUGUCCGUGCAGAAGCGGACAUAUUAACACAAGACGAGAAGACCCUAUGGAGCUUUAGACGCCCACCACCCGCGAAAAGCAGCCUACCUAAACAGAUGCUCUAAACAACGCGGUCCUGGUACAAACGUCUUCGGUUGGGGCGACCGCGGAGGAGAACAAAGCCUCCGAGAGGAAUGGGAACAAACCCUAAAACCAAGAGCCACAGCUCUAAGUCACAAAAAAUUUGACCGACAAUGAUCCGGCUUACUGCCGAUCAACGGACCAAGUUACCCUAGGGAUAACAGCGCAAUCCCCUCCCAGAGUCCAUAUCGACGAGGGGGUUUACGACCUCGAUGUUGGAUCAGGACAUCCUAAUGGUGCAGCCGCUAUUAAGGGUUCGUUUGUUCAACGAUUAAAGUCCUACGUGAUC